GAGUUUGAUCAUGGCUCAGAAUGAACGCUGGCGGCAUGCUUUACACAUGCAAGUCGAACGGUAACGCGGGGGCAGCCCUGGCGACGAGUGGCGAACGGGUGAGUAAUACAUCGGAACGUGUCCUGGAGUGGGGGAUAGCUCGGCGAAAGCCGGAUUAAUACCGCAUACGCUCUGAGGAGGAAAGCGGGGGACCUUCGGGCCUCGCGCUGCGGGAGCGGCCGAUGUCGGAUUAGCUAGUUGGUGGGGUAAAGGCCUACCAAGGCGACGAUCCGUAGCUGGUCUGAGAGGAUGAUCAGCCACACUGGGACUGAGACACGGCCCAGACUCCUACGGGAGGCAGCAGUGGGGAAUUUUGGACAAUGGGGGCAACCCUGAUCCAGCCAUGCCGCGUGAGUGAAGAAGGCCUCGGUUGUAAG
rnacentral:rRNA from 1 species